AGUGAACGCUGGCGGUAGGCCUAACACAUGCAAGUCGAACGGCAGCACAGUAAGAGCUUGCUCUUACGGGUGGCGAGUGGCGGACGGGCGAGGAAUACAUCGGAAUCUACUUUUUCGUGGGGGAUAACGUAGGGAAACUUACGCUAAUACCGCAUACGACCUACGGGUGAAAGCAGGGGAUCUUCGGACCUUGCGCGAUUGAAUGAGCCGAUGUCGGAUUAGCUAGUUGGCGGGGUAAAGGCCCACCAAGGCGACGAUCCGUAGCUGGUCUGAGAGGAUGAUCAGCCACACUGGAACUGAGACACGGUCCAGACGCCUACGGGAGGCAGCAGUGGGGAAUAUUGGACAAUGGGCGCAAGCCUGAUCCAGCCAUACCGCGUGGGUGAAGAAGGCCUUCGGGUUGUAAAGCCCUUUUGUUGGGAAAGAAAAGCAGCAGGUUAAUACCCCGCUGUUCUGACGGUACCCAAAGAAUAAGCACCGGCUAGCUUCGUG
rnacentral:rRNA from 1 species